CUGGAAUUCGCGAUACUUGAAAGACUGCAGAGAUUGGCAUCUGUUACGUUCGAUCUUCCGACAGAUCGACUAUGGGGCCCGUUACAACUGGACUUGUUCGCAUCCAGACUGAACGCUCAACUACCCCAAUACUUCAAUUGGAGACCGGAUCCAUCAGCCACGGCGGUGGAUGCGUUCCUGCAGAUAUGGCCUCGGGGUCGUCACUUUCAACCUGAUCUCUCGGACGCUGGCAUACUUGUCCGGACAAGAAUGCACGUUGGUGGUGAUUGUUCCCCUAUGGCAGACUCAGCCUUGGUUUCCACGUCUUUUGGAGAUGGCGGCGGAGUGCCCACGGAUGAUCAGGAUGCGAUCAGAGGUGCUUUUGGAUCCGGAUGGGAACUCGCACGACUUAGUGGACCCGAACCUGCUCCAGCUCAUGGCUUGGUUGAUUUCCGGGGACCCUGGUGUGUCUCGGACGUUCCGCAGGCUACUACAAGACUCCUGGAGAAUGCCUGGGCACCGGGGACCAGAACAGCUUACAAUGCUGCAUGGCGUGUGUGGUCUGGCUGGUGCGUGGGCAGACUGCUGGAUCCCCUUUCUGCCCCUCUGAAGGAGGUGCUCAGUUUUCUGACCACGCGUUUUGAAUCUGGUUUGGCCUAUCGCACUAUCAAUGUUUAUAGAUUGGCCAUUUCAGCCGGACAUAUAGGUAUUGACGGAUCACCGAUUGGACAACAUCUUUUUGUGUGCCGUUUGUUGAAGGGUAUUCGUUACUCUAGGCCUCCGAAAUCCAAAUAUUCAUCGUUUUGGGAUGUUAACGUGGUGCUGGACUUCUUGGAAUCAUGGCCUCCUAAUGAGGACCUGUCACUGAAGCAAUUAUCCUGGAAAUUGGUUAUGCUCCUGUGUCUCCUUUCAUGCAAAAGGGUUUCAGAUGUCAGGGCUUUGGACUGGAACGCAUUAUCCUUCACCCCCGAGGGAGUGUCGUUUAACAUCUCUAGGAGGACGAAGACGUCUUCUAAGUCCGUGACCUACCCUAGGUGUUCAGUCCGACCUGCUCUGU